AUAAAGAAACAACCAACAGAUAAUAACAGAAAAGAGAAUAGUAAAAAUAAACAGAUGAUAACUAAAUGAUAAACAAUGAAAACACAGACUGACUGAGCAAAACAAGAACGGAACUAAACCAUGGCAGAAGUAUGAAAAGUAAA